UUUAAGUGUUAUCUUGGACCCGUUAGCAGAGCUCGUGUUGAUUUCGGCAGGGCCAUGAAGUAGCCUUGUGUCUGACAUCUGCUUGGAGAAUGGAAAUAAUUGUCCUUAAACUGGCUGGAAACCUGAAUGUUUCUUGAAGAAGUGAAAUCAUAUGCAGAGAGCAUGGCUUGUGCACAGAUACCAGCUGAUACCAUCACUGUGCCUGCUGUGCUUUGCAAGACAACUUCAUUGAAAAGCUGUAACAAGGACCUCAGCAGAGCAACGACUGAUCACAAGGACUCUCCCAUGUCUCCUUCUUGAUCUUCAUCAUUGGCAACUCUUUCUUGCUGCUAUCAUGUAGUUUCCAUUAAGUUGUAAGGUCUUUGUAAGUCUGUCUUUGCUACUCAUUAGAAUACAGUCACCCAUUUUUCACUUCAGCGCUUUGCAGUGUCCUUCACUGUUGUCUUUCUUCCUCAUCUGUCAAUCUGACUGUUGAUUAUUGAUACAGAGACAAACUAAACCUAUUCUGAGUCAAUUUGCAUGGAGAAAACACAUGAUUUCUAACGUGAGUAGCUCAAGAACAGAUCUUUGCCUUUUGUCCAAGCAAUACUCAGGCAGCCAGGCACAUCCCUCUGCAAUGAAACACAUUUCAAACUGUAGCAGAAUUUUGUUGGAAAAAUCAGAUGUUCCAUGUUUCUUGAUGGCUGAUUUUCUAGCAAUUAAAAAGUGGGAUGAGCUCCACUAGAGUCAUAACAAUGCCUGACAAAUCCUUCUUUAAAGGUAAUUAAUGGCUGAAUGGUGGAACAUCUGUUAGUCUUUUCCCCAUGAUGUUCACUGGCAAGGGCAAGAAGGGGUAAAAAAACAAAGAGAAAAAAUGACCCUUGAAUA